AUGGCGGAGUUCGCGCUUGGUCUGACCAAGACGGCGGUGGCGGGGACUGUGAGCAGGGUGAAGUUGGCGGUGCAGGAGGAGAAGAAGCUGAGGGAGAGUGUGGAGGAGGACCUUGUGUUCAUCACGGGGGAGUUUGAGAUGAUGCAGGCGUUCCUUAGCGCCUCUAGCGCUGGGGAGCGCACAUCCAAGAACAAGUGUGAGCAGCAGGAGCGUGACAAGCUGCAUGGUCAAGUAGUUCCGGCUGAUCUGGCUCGAGGUAGAAGAAGAAGCGGCGCUGCGAGAGGCGGCGCCAACAUCCGUGACCUGGCCUUCGACGUCGAGAACUGCGUUGAGUUCGUGGUGCAUCUCGACAAGCCGUCACCAUGGGACUGGAUGCGGCGCCUUGCCUCCUCCACUCCCUGCCUUUCAAGUUUGUCGCUGCCCCUGGACUUGGCGGCGGCAGAGAUAAAACGGCUCAAGGCAAGGGUGGAGGACGUAAGCCAGAGCAACACACGCUACAACCUCACAGGUGGCGGCGGCAGCGACGACAACGGCAACAACGACAAUGACUACGACUACAACUACGACGACAGCGACUCUGACUCUGACUUACACCAAGAGCAGAAUCAGGUGCGUAUGCGCCCUGCAGUCAGCACUACAUCAGUAGCAGCGGCAACAUUUCAGGACCUAAGGGUGAUCUGGAAGGCCAUGGGAAAGCUCAGGCGGAACACUCGGGAUCUGAAAAUAUUGAUCGACUGCCAAGGGAGUGGACUCAAGGUGAUCACACUGUGGGGAAGUGUGAACGCUGAUGCUGUUGGGGAUUCUGGGCGAGUGAGUAUUCUGAAGAAGGCCUACCUUGACCAGGAAAUCUGCCAACAAUUCAAGAGUCGUGCAUGGAUAAAGCUGACCAAUACUUUUAAUCCAGUAGAGUUCCUCAACAACUUACUCACUCACUUCACAUCUCACCGCCAUGUCCGACACCAUGAUGUGCACGAGCUCAUGGUGCAAGUCUGCCAGCACAGGUACCUCAUCAUCCUAGAAGAAGAAUUAUCCAGUUUCGCGGAGUGGGAGGCCAUCAAAAUAUACCUUCCCGACAGCAACAAUGGCAGCCGAGUUGUCAUCUCCACCAAGCACUUGGGAGUUGCCCUUGUCUGCACGGGAGAACCAUUCCAAGUAUGGGAGCUUCAACACUACUCUCGUAAUCAAUACCUUUGUGCCUUUUUCCCGAAGGUAAUUACUUAA
rnacentral:rRNA from 1 species